CUCUCUCAAAUAAGAGAUUGU
rnacentral:snRNA from 1 species